GGCACUGCACAGGCAGAAAGUGAAUCUCAGAGUCGAUACAUUGAAAGUCUCCUGCAGAAUUUUCUGAACUCAAACGUCAGUUCACCUCUUCAAAGGAAUAUUCGGGAUGAUUUGUCUCAACACUCAAAAAUCUUAUUUUGCUGCUUCUGUUGCUAUCAUCAUCAUCAUUAUCACUAUUUAAUGAGAAUAAUAAUAAUAAUAAUAAUAAUUUGACAUUACUGGAAUUGAACACAGGACCUUGUAUGUGCUAGAUUCCUUGUCAGUGAGAUGGAGAACCUGCACAGCGAUUGUAUCCCAGAUUUAUGACCUUUUGAUGAUCCCUGUGGUUGAAUUAGGGAAAAGCUGGAAGAAGCUGAGGAGGAGGACAACCCUACAGGAAGACCAGCAGUCUCAACUAACUCGGACCCCCGAGAUUGCUCAGACACCGAGCCCCCCACCAGGCAGCAUACAUCAACUGACAUGAGGCCCUUAAUACACAUACAGCAGAGGACUGCCAGGUCUUGACUCAGCGAGAGAAGAUGCACCUAACACUCAAGAGACUUGAGGCCCAGGGAAUAGGAAGGGAGUGGGGAUUUCUAGUGGGCUAGGGAGUGGAGACAUCCUCUUGGAGAUGGAGGUUGGCAGUUGGACAUAUGAGAUAUAGAACAGAGGACAGAUCAGGAGUGGGAUAAAUAUUGGACUAUAUAAAAAAAGAUUAAAGAAUAAAAACUAUUAUUACAUGCAUAUUAUAUAUAUAUAUAUACACAUAUAUAUACACAUAUAUAAUAUAUAUUAUAUAUAUAUUGGGCUUAGAUUUCUUUUUAAAACCUACUUUUGAUAAGGGUCCUCAAACACUUGGUAGGGGAGAAAAGAUAUUAAAUAAGGGGAUGUGGACCUGUUUAAAUGUAGUUUUUAGGGUUCAUUUCAAUUUCCUUUUGUCAGGAUACCAGCAGUCCAGUUCAGUAGUGUCAGGAUACCAAACAGGAAUCAGCAGUGGUGCCGUGAUCCAGCAGAAACAGCCAGGCCUCUGCUAAAUUAGUAAGAGUCAGCUGGAGUGACUACUGUGCCUUUCUCAAUGGAGAGAAGAUGAGUGAGGACUCAAGACCAAUCUAUAGUGUUGCCAGCCUCGCUAUGCAAGCACCCUGUCACUGUCGAUUGAGUCCUAUUUAAACUCUCUCCAAACAUCAUGGGUCCUCCCUUGCCUCAGGAGACUACCAUGUAAAUCUACUUUAAGAAAAUGUCAGGUGAAUCUGCAUCACAUGACAUAACCAGAAACUUCCACUUCAAUAUAUGCAUAUGUUCUAAUUACAACCUGCUCAGUCUCUAUAAUACAUAUAUGAAUGUUUUCACGGCUGACCAUUUGGUGUUGGGUAACUAAUUGUUGUGUCCUUUCUUCUCUUUCAAAAGUCUUAAUGUAAGAGUAGAACUAAGUUUUCUUUGUAUACGUAAAAACUGUAUUUUUUCAUUUUACUCUCAGAUCUCUAGGGUAAAUACAGUUCUUUACUAUUUGCCUUAUCUAGUCAAAUUAAAAAUUGAUAGUUACUGUAGAUGUUAUUAGCUCUAUUAAAAGUGUUGAUUUAAGGAAUCAAU